rnacentral:rRNA from 1 species
AUUGAACGCUGGCGGCAGGCUUAACACAUGCAAGUCGAGCGGAGAUGAGGUGCUUGCACCUUAUCUUAGCGGCGGACGGGUGAGUAAUGCUUAGGAAUCUGCCUAUUAGUGGGGGACAACAUUCCGAAAGGAAUGCUAAUACCGCAUACGCCCCACGGGGGAAAGCAGGGGAUCUUCGGACCUUGCGCUAAUAGAUGAGCCUAAGUCGGAUUAGCUAGUUGGUGGGGUAAAGGCCUACCAAGGCGACGAUCUGUAGCGGGUCUGAGAGGAUGAUCCGCCACACGGGGACUGAGACACGGCCCAGACGCCUACGGUAGGCAGAAGUGGGGAAUAUUGGACAAUGGGCGGAAGCCUGAUCCAGCCAUGCCGCGUGUGUGAAGAAGGCCUUUUGGUUGUAAAGCACUUUAAGCGAGGAGGAGGCUACCUGGAUUAAUACUCUAGGAUAGUGGACGUUACUCGCAGAAUAAGCACCGGCUAACUCUGUGACAGCCGCCGCGGUAAGAC